rnacentral:rRNA from 1 species
CUCAGUAACACGUGGACAACCUACCCUCCGGACGGGUAUAAACCCGGGAAACUGGGUAUAAUCCCCGAUAGAUCUCGGUCGCUGGAAUGCCCCGAGAUCGAAAGCUCCGGCGCCAGAGGAUGGGUCUGCGGCCUAUCAGGUAGUAGUGGGUGUAGCGUACCUACUAGCCUACGACGGGUACGGGUUGUGAGAGCAAGAGCCCGGAGAUGGAUUCUGAGACACGAAUCCAGGCCCUACGGGGUGCAGCAGGCGCGAAAACUUUACAAUGCCGGCAACGGCGAUAAGGGGACCUCGAGUGCCAGGUUACAAAUCUGGCUGUCGUGAUGCCUAAAAGCAUUGCAUAGCAAGGGCCG